NNNNNNNNNNNNUGGGGCAAUUGAACGCCCUGCGGAUGUUUUGCAUCCGGAGAUAUGGGAAAAAUGCACAGCCGCGCUGGCCGAGGACACGAAAUCCUCAGGCAGCGGCAAAUGCCUUAAGGCGUGGGGAAAAGUAGAGAAAGCCCUGCGCAGAGCAAUAGAAGAGCAGGAGACAUGGAGCGCAGCGCGUACGUGUUUAUUGGUUACACCCAAGCUAGGGGUAGGAGCGGCAACGCAAACUACCCCUGAGGGUGACCCACCCGGGAGCGGGGAUCCGGGGGGGCUCGGCGCGUCGCCCCCCUCCCCGGGCCGGGGCCCGGGGCCCCCCACGGAAACCUCCCAAAAAUCUGCGGCUUCCCCACCCACCCCGCCACCGCCGGUCGGUGACCCGGUACCGGAGGUGCAGCGGCGCGCAGAGUUCUGUUGGCGGGGACUGGCGGGGGAAGCCAGAGCCGCGGGAGCCGCGGCUCGGGAGGGGAUGCUGCCCACGCCGCCUCCAUACGCCUUUGAAAAUGGCGCCGGCAGCCAAGGGGAGGGGCAGGGCGUGGGCAGUCUCGGCGCGAAGAGCCCAGAGGCGCGGAGUUUCGCUAAUGCGCGUGUGCGGGACAAAGAGGAGGAGAGCGGCAGAGGGCUCGGAGCCAAUCGGCAGCCGCGCCUGACGCUGCCACCAUAUAAGGGAGAAACCCACCCCUGCAGGAGGCAGGGCGAGCCCGGGGGGCGGCAGCGGCGCCACCCCCGGGGGGAGGAGCGGGGUCGGAGCCGCACAAAACGGCACCGAGCCCCGGAAGUGCGCUGGCAUUCGACUUCCGACUCGGAGUCCGGCAGCAGCUCCGGCAGCUCGGAAGAGCUGCCGGGAGCCGGCUGGGACUCUGAAACGAAGAGAAUAGAGCCAAUGCAAUUUAAAACAAAACCAAGUAAAGCUUUAAGCCGCACCGAAAAGCAGCCACAAUACAAACCAGCCCAGUUUACCGACUGGGGAGAAAUAAAAAUAGCCUGCGCUGAGCUGUCCCCAGCUGGCACGGCAGCCCGCCGCGGCGCCUCCACCCCAAGCACGCCCGAGAGGAGCCUGUUUGGGGCUGCGGGAGGAAGGGGCAUCUGGCCAAAGAAUGCAGGUCCCAGACCCAGGGAAACGGGAGAGGGAGGGGGCAUGCGGGCUGCACCCAGCCUCCUCCCGCUGCAAAUGCAAGGCAGCCCAUCUAUGCCAACCCCCAGUGAGACGGGGUGGCCUUAUACCCCAUACCCCCACAGGAGGCAGCCAGCUUCAUACCCUCACCAGCGAAUUUCGCAACACAGCCUGCGGUACCUUCGUACCCACUACCGCCGCAAGCAGCGCCUGUGCCGCAGAGUCAGCAGGGGACGCCCCAGAACGAGACCCCUGAGUGGCCCUGGCCAUGAAAAUAGGGAAGGAGCCACCGAAGGUGUGGGGGACGUGCCGCCUUUAUGGCAGUCAGGACCCCCAUGUCAUAGGGCUUCAGUUUUGGGCAGACACAGGAGCAGACUGCUCGAUUUUUCCCCAAGCACUGUGGCCCCGACAUUGGCAAUGCAAAGAAGUCCCCCCAGUGAACGGAGUGGGAGGGCCGUCCCGAGCUUGGAAAAGCACCCAAUUAGUAGCCAUAACGCUUCAUACAAAAAAGGGACCAGAACAAACAGUAGCAAUCCACCCCUACAUUUUGCAAAACUCUCCACCCCUGAUAGGAAGGGACAUCCUUGCUAUGUUAGGAGUCAGGAUUACAAAUUUAUAAUAAGGGCCACUGCCGUACACCCACUGCUGCCAACCAAACUGACUUGGAAAUCACCAGACCCCGUAUGGGUCGAGCAGUGGCCCCUGUCAAAGCCUCGAAUGGCAGCCUUGCUGGAACUGGUCGACCUCGAGCUGCAAAAGGGUCACAUAGAACCCUCCACCAGCCCGUGGAACACCCCUGUGUUUAUAUACUAGAAGCUACCUUUCUAACCCUAAACGAAACCAAACCAAACCUGACUAACUCCUGUUGGCUUUGUUAUGAUGUUAAACCCCCUUUCUACGAAAGCAUUGCUUUAAACACCCCCUUCAGUUACUCCACAGCCAGUGCCCCCCACCAGUGCAGAUGGGACACUCCCCGCAGAGGAAUCACCCUGAGUCAAAUCACAGG
rnacentral:lncRNA from 1 species